CCUACGGGGGGCUGCAGUGGGGAAUAUUGGACAAUGGGGGGAACCCUGAUCCAGCCAUGCCGCGUGUGUGAAGAAGGCCCUCGGGUGUAAAGCACUUUCAGUGAGGAAGAACGCCUGGUGGUUAAUACCCAUCAGGAAAGACAUCACUCACAGAAGAAGCACCGGCUAACUCCGUGCCAGCAGCCGCGGUAAUACGGAGGGUGCGAGCGUUAAUCGGAAUUACUGGGCGUAAAGCGCGCGUAGGUGGCUUGAUAAGCCGGUUGUGAAAGCCCCGGGCUCAACCUGGGAACGGCAUCCGGAACUGUCAAGCUAGAGUGCAGGAGAGGAAGGUAGAAUUCCCGGUGUAGCGGUGAAAUGCGUAGAGAUCGGGAGGAAUACCAGUGGCGAAGGCGGCCUUCUGGACUGACACUGACACUGAGGUGCGAAAGCGUGGGUAGCAAACAGGAUUAGAUACCCUGGUAGUC
rnacentral:rRNA from 1 species